GCGAACGCUGGCGGCGUGCUUAACACAUGCAAGUCGAACGAUGAAGCCUGUAACUUGUUGUGGGUGGAUUAGUGGCGAACGGGUGAGUAAUACGUGAGUAACCUGCCCUCCUUUUUGGGAUAAGCCUUGGAAACGGGGUCUAAUACCGGAUAUUCUGGCAUGCUCGCAUGGGUGUGUUGGGAAAGCUUUAUGUGAAGGGGGAUGGGCUCGCGGCCUAUCAGCUUGUUGGUGGGGUGAUGGCCUACCAAGGCGGUGACGGGUAGCCGGCCUGAGAGGGUGACCGGCCACAUUGGGACUGAGAUACGGCCCAGACUCCUACGGGAGGCAGCAGUGGGGGAUAUUGCACAAUGGGCGAAAGCCUGAUGCAGCGACGCCGCGUGGGGGAUGAAGGCUUUCGGGUUGUAAACCUCUUUCGCUAUCGAACAAGGCUCAUUUUUUGGUGGGUUGAGGGUAGGUGGAGAAGAAGCGCCGGCUAACUACGUGCCAGCAGCCGCGGUAAUACGUAGGGCGCGAGCGUUGUCCGGAAUUAUUGGGCGUAAAGGGCUUGUAGGCGGCUUGUUGCGCCUGCUGUGAAAACGCGGGGCUUAACUUCGCGCGUGCAGUGGGUACGGGCAGGCUUGAGUGUGGUAGGGGUGACUGGAAUUCCAGGUGUAGCGGUGGAAUGCGCAGAUAUCUGGAGGAACACCGAUGGCGAAGGCAGGUCACUGGGCCAUUACUGACGCUGAGGAGCGAAAGCAUGGGUAGCGAACAGGAUUAGAUACCCUGGUAGUCCAUGCUGUAAACGUUGGGAACUAGGUGUGGGGGGCCUUUCCAGGUUUUCUGCGCCGUAGCUAACGCAUUAAGUUCCCCGCCUGGGGAGUACGGCCGCAAGGCUAAAACUCAAAGGAAUUGACGGGGGCCCGCACAAGCGGCGGAGCAUGCGGAUUAAUUCGAUGCAACGCGAAGAACCUUACCAAGGCUUGACAUACACCGCGGGGCUGCAGAGAUGUGGUUGCAUUUAGUUGGUGGUGUACAGGUGGUGCAUGGUUGUCGUCAGCUCGUGUCGUGAGAUGUUGGGUUAAGUCCCGCAACGAGCGCAACCCUUGUCUCGUGUUGCC
rnacentral:rRNA from 1 species